rnacentral:rRNA from 1 species
CACGUAGGGUGCGAGCGUUGUCCGGAAUUAUUGGGCGUAAAGAGCUCGUAGGCGGUGUGUCGCGUCGGCCGUGAAAACCUGCAGCUUAACUGUGGGCGUGCGGUCGAUACGGGCAUCACUGGAGUUCGGCAGGGGAGACUGGAAUUCCUGGUGUAGCGGUGAAAUGCGCAGAUAUCAGGAGGAACACCAGUGGCGAAGGCGGUGCUCUGGGCCGGAACUGACGCUGAUGAGCGAAAGCGUGGGGAGCAAACAGG